rnacentral:rRNA from 1 species
AUUGAACGCUGGCGGCAUGCCUUACACAUGCAAGUCGAACGGCAGCACGGGAGCAAUCCUGGUGGCGAGUGGCGAACGGGUGAGUAAAGCAUCGGAACGUGCCCAGUCGUGGGGGAUAACGUAGCGAAAGCUACGCUAAUACCGCAUACGAUCUGUGGAUGAAAGCGGGGGACCGUAAGGCCUCGCGCGAUUGGAGCGGCCGAUGUCAGAUUAGGUAGUUGGUGAGGUAAAGGCUCACCAAGCCGACGAUCUGUAGCUGGUCUGAGAGGACGACCAGCCACACUGGGACUGAGACACGGCCCAGACUCCUACGGGAGGCAGCAGUGGGGAAUUUUGGACAAUGGGCGCAAGCCUGAUUCAGCAAUGCCGCGUGCAGGAUGAAGGCCUUCGGGUUGUAAACUGCUUUUGUACGGAGCGAAAAGGCUUCCACUAAUACUGGGGGCUCAUGACGGUACCGUAAGAAUAAGCACCGGCUAACUACGUGCCAGCCGCCGCGGUAAAAC